GAUGCUGUAACCUGAAGCUCAGGGCUAGACAACUUUCAGUAACGCGGAACACAGCCUUGUCCCUACAAGUUUUAUUGACAGAUAUUUCGCGAGAUUGAUGGUUCUCACGGUGUCCAGUAUGAAUAAACAGGCUGUCUUCUGGGUUGUUGUGCGGUGUAGUCUUGUAGACGUUUACCAAAGACUCAUUUUCCUGAGCACAUCUGAAACGUCAGUAAACUACCAACGAGAUAACAAUCUUAAGAUAUUUUGAGGUUUCCCUCAGACUCCAAACUCGGACGACGGAAUAAAUUCUAAUAGGUCAUGGCGGACUUCUACCUAAUAUUUACUUACAAUUCAAGGCUAUCUACUAACCCUAUUUCAAGGUACAAAAUCUUUGUGAUUGAAAUAGUGUUGUUUAAUAAAUUACUCUUUAUGGCAGUCCAACUUAAACUACUCAUACCGAUGAGAAGUAUUUUAUUUGACGCAAGAACUGGUAUAAUUUAUAAAACAAACGAUCUAAAGAGACAGUUUUACACAUUGCACUGUUACAUAAAGAGAAAUUUAAUAUUGGUGAAUAAUUUUAAUAAAAAAUCUUGGAUUUCCUAUUACGUGUAAAAAAUCCGACUAAUAAGAUCAGAGAGUGUAAGUUCAGAAAAGAAAGCAGAAUAUAAGCCAUCCGAAUCCACAGUGUUUUAGGAACUGCACGCAUUGUGUGAGUCUCAAGAAUGAAAUAUGAUCAUUCGUGACACGUGUUCUAUGAAAUUCGCCAGAAAUUUCUCCAUAAAGAAAGUGAAGGUUUAAAUGAAACAUUUCACUUCUACACUUAAUAUCACUGACUCACAUUUGUUCUAGCUCCUGCUAAGCACUAUACUCGUGUUAUUUUGCUAUAAACACAACCACAUUUAUGAGAUUCAAUCCAACAAAAUAACUAAUUGCCAUUAUAAGUAAUUUUUAUGAAAGUUUCACAGUCCGUCUGGAGUGAGCAAUCACCAUUAUACGUAGAUCUUCACGUGGAGAAACUCAGAUAAUUAUAGGACUAACGGGGAGAUGGGGUUAUUGGGUUAUUGUGCUGUUGCCAUCACAAGCUGACACAGUAAGGUGACGUUAGUUAAACAGGCCAUCUUGUGGCCCAAUGUAACACCAAGUCUGUAUAUAUGGUUGUUGAUUUAUAAUUAAUGCACCUGUUUUCUAACUCGUAAUAUACACAGCUUGGCGUAUUAUGCAUCAAAAUCAAUAAUAAAAUGUUGUAUUCUCUUAUUUGCAAUAAAACCCAUCCUAAAUGCAU